UCUAAAAUGGCAGAUAAGUGCAUUGGACCUAAGCCCCAAAAAUAAGAUAAAAUAUCUUUUUUAGAA
rnacentral:tRNA from 1 species